UUUCCGUAGGUGAACCUGCGGAAGGAUCAUUAAUAAAUGGCUCCGCGUUAGGAGCACUUAAUAAUCCUACUCUUUGUGAAUUUGUUGUUUGAAAUAAUUUUUUUUAAAAUUAUUGAACGUCUUUCCCUGUUGAAUUAGAGUGUUUUCGGACACAAAGAUCCGCAGGGGAUAGUCAAUAAUUUUUAAAAAGACCUUUUUUAAAUUAAACUUUUUGUAUUCAUUUGUCUAAAAUUAUUUUUAUAAUAUAAAACAACUUUGACAAUGGAUCUCUUGGUUCUCGCAACGAUGAAGAACGCAGCAAAAUGCGAUAAGUAGUGUGAAUUGCGGAAUACGUGAAUCAUCGAAUCUUCGAACGCAUAUUGCACUUUUUUAGUUUACUAAAAAGUAUGUCUGUUUGAGUAUCAGUAAAAUAUUCUCAUAAAAACAUUGUUUUUAUGGUUAUGAGUGUUUUACAACGAUACAAGUUGUUUCACUUUAAAUUUUUUUUAAAAUUUGAAUUUUUUCUAAUUUUAAAUAAAAUUGGAUAAAAUUUUCCCGUAAAAAGGAAUAACCUAAACAAUUUUAAUUUUAAUAAUUAGAAUUCAAAUAUCAAAAAGGAAUUUAUUCAAAAUAACCUGAUCUCAAAUCAGAUAAGAGUACCCGCUGAACUUAAGCAUAUCAAUAAGCGGAGGAAAAGAAACUAACAAGGAUUCCUUAGUAACGGCGAGUGAAGCGGGAAGAGCUCAAAUUUGAAAUCUUCAAGGUUUUACCUUGACGAAUUGUAGUUUAAAGAAGUGUUUUCUGUUGAAGUUUUGGUAAAAGUUCUUUGGAAUAGGACAUCAUAGAGGGUGAGAAUCCAGUAUUUGACCAUUAUUUUCAGCUGUGUGAUACACUUUCAAAGAGUCGGAUUGUUUGGGAAUGCGGUCCAAAAUGGGUGGUAAAUUUCAUCUAAAGCUAAAUAUUGGCGAGAGACCGAUAGCGAACAAGUACCGUGAGGGAAAGAUGAAAAGAACUUUGAAAAGAGAGUUAAACAGUACGUGAAAUUGUCAAAAGGGAAGCGUUUGACACCAGUGUUGUUUUCUCGAAAAUCAAUUAAAAAAAGUUGGGAUUUUGUGUUGUAUUGACCUUAACAGCUUUCUGCACUCUUUUCCUGCUUUUUUUAAUGCACUUUUCGUUUAACAAGUCAACAUCAGUUUCUUUUGUUGUAAAAGGGUCAUUGGAAGGUGGCUUUCUUUUCGGAGAAAGUGCUUAUAGCCUUUGAUCUCUGCAAUCGGAGAGACUGAGGUCUGCAGCGUAGAUCCUUCGGGGUUAGAUACAUUUGUGCUAAGUUAUAACUUUUCAUAGACAACUUGUUGACUAUGUUUAGUCAUGUAGCUUACUCGCUUAUGCUAUCUACCUACGCUUAGGAUGUUG
rnacentral:misc_RNA from 1 species